GUACCAUUGGGAUCGACUAAGGGAGAGGAACAACCUGGUGUCGUCUCUUCAAUUUUCCGGUGUGCCGUCGCCGGAGAAGAUGACCGGAGGGUGCCUUGAGGGUUGAGACGAAGUGACUCGUGCGAAGAUCAAAGAAGGCACGCAAAUCGAGGCAUACCGAAAUAUCGCCAAAGGUGAAAGCAGUGGCGCCAAGGGAAAGAAUAUCAUCGAGAUGUAGCGGCUAUGUUUAGUUUUCGUAGGUUUUGUCCAUGAUUACGAUGUUCAGAGGUUAUGUAAUAUUUUGAUAUUUUCAUGUGAAACAUCGAUUUGGUUAUUGUAAAGGAAUUGUCGGUUAUAUAUCAUUGAGGUUUCGAUCUUGCU